UACGUAGGGGGCGAGCGUUGUCCGGAUUUAUUGGGCGUAAAGAGCGUGUAGGCGGCCAGGUAGGUCUGCUGUGAAAACUCGAGGCUCAACCUCGAGACGUCGGCGGAAACCAUCUGGCUAGAGUCCGGAAGAGGAGAGUGGAAUUCCUGGUGUAGCGGUGAAAUGCGUAGAUAUCUGGAGGAACACCGGUGGCGAAGGCGGCAUCCUGGACCAAUAUUGACGCUGAGGAGCGAAAGCUAGGGGAGCAAACGGG
rnacentral:rRNA from 1 species